rnacentral:rRNA from 1 species
AUCACGGCUCAGGACGAAACGUCUGGCGGCGAGCUUAACACACGCAAGUCGAAACGAUGAAGCGCCGUCCUCUCGGGGGCGGUGUCGGAAUAGCGGCGAAACGGGCGAGUAAUACGCGGGCAACCCGCCCCUCUGCUUCGGGAUAAGCUUUGGAAACGGGGUCUAAUACCGGAUGUGCCUGUCUGGUCGCACGGCUGGGCGGGGAAAGAUGUUUCGGCGGGGGAUGGGCUCGCGGCCUAUCAGCUUGUUGGUGGGGUGAUGGCCUACCAAGGCGUCGACGGGUAGCCGGCCUGAGAGGGUGGUCGGCCACACUGGGACUGAGAUACGGCCCAGACUCCUACGGGAGGCAGCAGUGGGGGAUAUUGCACAAUGGGCGCAAGCCUGAUGCAGCGACGCCGCGUGGGGGAUGGAGGCUUUCGGGUUGUAAACCCCUUUCGGCGCGGGACAAGGCUCCGUUUGGCGGGGUUGAGGGUACGCGUCAAAGAAGCGCCGGCUAACUACGUGCCAGCAGCCGCGGUAAUACGUAGGGCGCGAGCGUUGUCCGGAAUUAUUGGGCGUAAAGGGCUCGUAGGCGGCUUGUCGCGUCUGCUGUGAAAACGCGGGGCUCAACUCCGCGCGUGCAGUGGGUACGGGCAGGCUGGAGUGCGGCAGGGGUGGCUGGAAUUCCUGGUGUAGCGGUGGAAUGCGCAGAUAUCAGGAAGAACACCGAUGGCGAAGGCAGGCCACUGGGCCGUCACUGACGCUGAGGAGCGAAAGCGUGGGGAGCGAACAGGAUUAGAUACCCUGGUAGUCCACGCUGUAAACGUUGGGAACUAGGUGUGGGGUCUGUUCCACGGAUUCUGCGCCGGAGCUAACGCGUUAAGUUCCCCGCCUGGGGAGUACGGCCGCAAGGCUAAAACUCAAAGGAAUUGACGGGGGCCCGCACAAGCGGCGGAGCAUGCGGAUUAAUUCGAUGCAACGCGAAGAACCUUACCAAGGCUUGACAUGUGCCGGGAGGGCGCGGAGACGCGUCUGCCUUCGGGCCGGUUCACAGGUGGUGCAUGGUUGUCGUCAGCUCGUGUCGUGAGAUGUUGGGUUAAGUCCCGCAACGAGCGCAACCCUUGUCCCGUGUUGCCAGCGCGUUGUGGCGGGGACUCACGGGGGACUGCCGGGGUCAACUCGGAGGAAGGUGGGGACGACGUCAAAUCAUCAUGCCCCUUAUGCCUUGGGCUUCACGCAUGCUACAAUGGCCGGUACAGAGGGUGGCGAUGCCGUGAGGCGGGGCGAAUCUCGUAAAGCCGGUCUCAGUUCGGAUCGGGGUCUGCAACUCGGGCCCGUGAAGUCGGAGUCGCUAGUAAUCGCAGAUCAGCAACGCUGCGGUGAAUACGUUCUCGGGCCCUUGCACACACCGCCCGUCAAG